rnacentral:rRNA from 1 species
AUUGAACGCUGGCGGCAUGCCUUACACAUGCAAGUCGAACGGUAACGGGCCUUCGGGUGCCGACGAGUGGCGAACGGGUGAGUAAUACAUCGGAACGUGCCCGAUCGUGGGGGAUAACGAGGCGAAAGCUUUGCUAAUACCGCAUACGAUCUACGGAUGAAAGCAGGGGACCGCAAGGCCUUGCGCGGACGGAGCGGCCGAUGGCAGAUUAGGUAGUUGGUGGGAUAAAAGCUUACCAAGCCGACGAUCUGUAGCUGGUCUGGGAGGAUGAUCAGCCACACUGGGACUGAGACACGGCCCAGACUCCUACGGGAGGCAGCAGUGGGGAAUUUUGGACAAAGGGCGCAAGCCUGAUCCAGCCAUGCCGCGUGCAGGAUGAAGGCCUUCGGGUUGUAAACUGCUUUUGUACGGAACGAAAAGCCUUCUUUUAAUACAGGAGGGUCAUGACGGUACCGUAAGAAUAAGCACCGGCUAACUACGUG